GUGCAGCAGUCGCGAAUUUUUCUCAAUGGGGGCAACCCUGAAGGAGCGACGCCGCGUGGAGGAUGAAGGCUUCUGGGUUGUAAACUCCUGUCAUUUGAGAACAAGUGUGAGCAAGUAACUACUGCUCAUUUGAUAGUAUCAGAAGAGGAAGGGACGGCUAACUCUGUGCCAGCAGCCGCGGUAAUACAGAGGUCCCAAGCGUUGUUCGGAUUCAUUGGGCGUAAAGGGUGCGUAGGUGGCGCCGUAAGUGGGGUGUGAAAUUUCGGAGCUUAACUCCGAAACUGCAUUCCAUACUGCGGUGCUUGAGGACUGGAGAGGAGACUGGAAUUCAUGGUGUAGCAGUGAAAUGCGUAGAGAUCAUGAGGAAGACCAGGUGGCGAAGGCGGGUCUCGUGGACAGUUCCUGACACUGAGGCAACGAAGGCGUAGGGGAGACGAAAC
rnacentral:rRNA from 1 species